rnacentral:rRNA from 1 species
UGGCUCAAGAACGAACGCUGGCGGCGGCGCCUAAUACAUGCAAGUCGAGCGAAGAAAGUGUAGCAAUACACUUGUAAAGCGGCGAACGGGUGAGGAAUACAUGGGUAAUCUACCAUCGAGUGGGGAAUAACCAACCGAAAGGUUGGCUAAUACCGCGUACGCCUCCGAGUCUUCGGGUUCGGAGGGAAAGCUGCACUGUGAGUGUAGCGCUCUUUGAUGAGCUCAUGUCCUAUCAGCUUGUUGGUAGGGUAAUGGCCUACCAAGGCUUUGACGGGUAGCUGGUCUGAGAGGACGAUCAGCCACACUGGCACUGCGACACGGGCCAGACUCCUACGGGAGGCAGCAGUAAGGAAUAUUGCGCAAGUGGGACGAAAGCCUGACGCAGCGACGCCGCGUGGGGGAUGAAGGUCUUCGGAUUGUAAACCCCUUUCGGGAGGGAAGAUGGAGCGAGCAAUCGUUCGGACGGUACCUCCAGAAGCAGCCACGGCCAACUUCGUG